AACGAACGCUGGCGGCAUGCCUAACACAUGCAAGUCGAACGAUGCCUUCGGGCAUAGUGGCGCACGGGUGCGUAACGCGUGGGAAUCUGCCUUUCGGUUCGGAAUAACUCAGGGAAACUUGAGCUAAUACCGGAUAACGUCGCAAGACCAAAGAUUUAUCACCGAAAGAUGAGCCCGCGUAGGAUUAGCUAGUUGGUGAGGUAAAGGCUCACCAAGGCGACGAUCCUUAGCUGGUCUGAGAGGAUGAUCAGCCACACUGGGACUGAGACACGGCCCAGACUCCUACGGGAGGCAGCAGUGGGGAAUAUUGGACAGUGGGCGAAAGCCUGAUGCAGCAAUGGCGCGUGAGUGAUGAAGGCCUUAGGGUUGUAAAGCUCUUUUAACCGGGAAGAUAAUGACGGUACCGGGAGAAUAAGCCCCGGCUAACUCCGUG
rnacentral:rRNA from 1 species